GAUGAACGCUGGCGGCGUGCCUAACACAUGCAAGUCGAACGGAACUUUUAUGGAAUGAGACUUCGGUCGAAUGAAGUUUAAGUUUAGUGGCGGACGGGUGAGUAACGCGUGAGUAACCUGCCUUUCACAGGGGGAUAACGUUUGGAAACGAACGCUAAUACCGCAUAACAUAUCGUUGUCGCAUGGCAGUGAUAUCAAAGAUUUUAUCGGUGAAAGAUGGACUCGCGUCCGAUUAGAUAGUUGGUGAGGUAACGGCUCACCAAGUCGACGAUCGGUAGCCGGACUGAGAGGUUGAACGGCCACAUUGGGACUGAGACACGGCCCAG
rnacentral:rRNA from 1 species